AGGGGCAGCGGGGAUGAGAGCUUGCUCUUACCCUCAAAGCGACCGGCGCACGGGUGAGUAACACGUAUGCAACCUACCCCCUACAGGGGAAUAAUCGGCGGAAACGCCUUCAAAUACCGCAUAUACGCCAUAGAGGCAUCUCUUAGGCGAGAAAGAAUUUCGGUAGGGGAUGGGCAUGCGGCGCAUUAGGUGGUUGGCGGGGUAACGGCCCACCAAGCCGACGAUGCGUAGGGGUUCUGAGAGGAAGGUCCCCCACACUGGUACUGAGACACGGACCAGACUCCUACGGGAGGCAGCAGUGAGGAAUAUUGGUCAAUGGGCGAUAGCCUGAUUUUUCAAGUCGCGUGAGGGAAGACGGCCCUAUGGGUUGUAAACCUCUUUUGUCGGGUAUUUUUGUCGCCCCCCGUAGCGAUUUGAGAGUACCCGAAGAAAAAAAAUCGGCUAACUCCGUGCCAGCAGCCGCGGUAAUACGGAGGAUGCGAGCGUUAUCCGGAUUUAUUGGGUUUAAAGGGUGCGUAGGCGGGAGAUCAAGUCAGCGGUAAAAAUGCGGGGCCCAACCCCGUCGAGCCGUUUGAAACUGGUUUUCUUGAGUGGGCGAGAGGUAUGCGGAAUGCGUGGUGUAGCGGUGAAAUGCAUGGAUCUCUCGCGGAACCCCGAUUGCGAAGGCAGCAUACCGGCGCCCAACUGACGCUGAGGCACGAAAGCGUGGGGGGCCUUUAUGAGGAGAUACCGGGNNNNCCNCGCAGCAAACGGCCCCUUAAAGGGGGGGGGUUUGACUGAAGACUGAGUGGGACAGCGAAAGCGUUAAGUGUUCCACCUGGGGAGUACGCAGGCAACGGUGAAACUCAAAGGAAUUGACGGGGGCCCGCACAAGCGGAGGAACAUGUGGUUUAAUUCGAUGAUACGCGAGGAACCUUACCCGGGCUCAAACGACAGAUGCAUGAUUUUGAAAGGGAUCAGUCCUUCGGGACAUCUGUCGAGGUGCUGCAUGGUUGUCGUCAGCUCGUGCCGUGAGGUGUCGGCUUAAGUGCCAUAACGAGCGCAACCCCUACUGACAGUUGCCAACGCGUAAAGGCGUGCACUCUGUCGGGACUGCCAGCGCAAGCUGCGAGGAAGGCGGGGAUGACGUCAAAUCAGCACGGCCCUUACGUCCGGGGCGACACACGUGUUACAAUGGCCGGUACAGCGGGAAGCCAUGUGGCGACACAGAGCGGAACCCGAAAGCCGGUCUCAGUUCGGAUUGGAGUCUGCAACCCGACUCCAUGAAGCUGGAUUCGCUAGUAAUCGCGC
rnacentral:rRNA from 1 species